rnacentral:rRNA from 1 species
AUUGAACGCUGGCGGCAGGCUUAACACAUGCAAGUCGAGCGGAGCGAGGGUGCUUGCACCUUAGCUUAGCGGCGGACGGGUGAGUAAUGCUUAGGAAUCUGCCUAUUAGUGGGGGACAACAUUCCGAAAGGAAUGCUAAUACCGCAUACGCCCUACGGGGGAAAGCAGGGGAUCUUCGGACCUUGCGCUAGUAGAUGAGCCUAAGUCGGAUUAGCUAGUUGGUGGGGUAAAGGCCUACCAAGGCGACGAUCUGUAGCGGGCCUGAGAGGAUGAUCCGCCACACUGGGACUGAGACACGGCCCAGACUCCUACGGGAGGCAGCAGUGGGGAAUAUUGGACAAUGGGCGGAAGCCUGGUCCAGCCAUGCCGCGUGUGUGAAGAAGGCCUUUUGGUUGUAAAGCACUUUAAGCGAGGAGGAGGCUACUUAGAUUAAUACUCUGGGAUAGUGGACGUUACUCGCAGAAUAAGCACCGGCUAACUCUGUGCCAGCAGCCGCGGUAA